rnacentral:tRNA from 1 species
GCUGUGAUGGACGAGGAGUGAAGGUGUUGGACUUGAAACCCAACAGGGUUUCCUUGCGCAGGUUCAAAUCCUGCUCACAGUG